GAAAGAAACAAAAGAAAUGGAAGAACAAAGAGGGGGAAACAGAGAUCAGAGGGAGAAGAGAGGGGGAGGAAGUUGUCGUGCCUAUCCACUCGUCGCCGCCGUCCGAGGAGCUUCCGUGGACGCUGCUAUCAAGCUCGUAGGUGAGAGAAAGAGAGUUCACGUGGGACAGAGGAACAUGUUGCACCGCCGUUCAUCGCUGCUCAGCCACCACCAUGCCUUGUUGACGUCGUCAGAGCCGCCCAGUAGCCGUCGCGAGCUGCCCAGUAGCCGCCGUCAUCUUCACAAACCGUCGCUGUUGCCAGGGUCGUGCCACCAUCGUGUCUCACCGGCGUUGAAGGAGCCAUCGUCGAAUGAAGCAGGGAGAGAGAAAAAGCUACAAAAGAGAGAAAAGGAGGUGGCGGAGACCUUUUUCCACCGCUGCUCCCGUUACUGUUGCCGUCGACGGAGCUCGCCGUCGCUAGAGGUAAGUCGGCGUCGCGUUCUUGCUGCUUUGAGCCACCAGUGCCGCUGCUGCUACUCCAAAAUUCCACUUCUGUUUCUUAGGGAUUUCUAUCUCAUCCCCCUUGAAGUUACCGUCGGUUCUGUCCUUGCCAGUGAGGGUCACCGGAGCUGCUGCAAUUCCAGUCUUUUGUUCCUCUGCUAAGCUGCCUCGCGGUGUUGUUUCAUCGUCGCUGUUGCUGGAAGAAGCAGUCGAAGUGGCUGCCAUGAAUUAAAAGGAAAGGGAGUUGUUACAAUAGGCUUAUGCGAACUCGGCUAAUCGAGAGUUGUUGUGGUUGCUGCGUAAGUAGUUAGGAGCUGAGGUUGCAGCUGCCACUGAUUGCGGGCCGAAAAGAAAGGGUUUCUUGAUGCGUUUCAUUUUUGAGUUUCGAUUAUUCGAGGAACCGGAUGAAGAAGCAUUAAGAAGAGUUAAACUCUGUUUGG